rnacentral:rRNA from 1 species
GACGAACGCUGGCGGCGUGCCUAAUACAUGCAAGUAGAACGCAGUUGCGAACGGGUGAGUAACGCGUUGGUAACUGCCUGGUAGCGGGGGAUAACUAUUGGAAACGAUAGCCAAUACUGCAUACUACCAUAUGGACCUGCGUUGUAUUAGAUGGUUGGUGGGGUAACGGCACACCAAGGCAACGAUACAUAGCCGACCUGAGAGGGGGAUCGGCCACAAUGGGAAUGGAACACGGCCCAGACUCCUACGGGAAGCAGCAGUAGGGAAUCUUCGGCAAUGGACGGAAGGCUGAACGAGCAACGCCGCGUGAGUGAAGAAGGUUUUCGGGUCGUAAAGCUCUGUUGUAAGAGAAGCGGUAUCUUACCAGAAAGGGACGGCUAACUACGUGCCAGCCGCCGCGGUAAUUC